rnacentral:sRNA from 1 species
UAAAAGGCGAAGAUUCGGCCUGAUGGCGU